AUUGAACGCUGGCGGAAUGCUUUACACAUGCAAGUCGAACGGCAGCACGGGUGCUUGCACCUGGUGGCGAGUGGCGAACGGGUGAGUAAUGCACCGGAACGUAUCCAAUAAUGGGGGAUAACGCACCGAAAGGUGUGCUAAUACCGCAUACGCCCUGAGGGGGAAAGCGGGGGAUCGUAAGACCUCGCGUUAAUGGAGCGGCCGAUGCCGGAUUAGCUAGUUGGUGAGGUAAAGGCUCACCAAGGCGACGAUCUGUAGCGGGUCUGAGAGGAUGAUCCGCCACACUGGAACUGAGACACGGUCCAGACUCCUACGGGAGGCAGCAGUGGGGAAUUUUGGACAAUGGGGGGCAACCCUGAUCCAGCCAUGCCGCGUGAGUGAAGAAGGCCUCGG
rnacentral:rRNA from 1 species